rnacentral:rRNA from 1 species
GUAAGAAUACCCGCUGAACUUAAGCAUAUCAAUAAGCGGAGGA